CACGUAGGGCGCGAGCGUUGUCCGGAUUCACUGGGUUUAAAGGGUGCGUAGGCGGAUAUGUAAGUCCGUGGUGAAAUCUCUGGGCUUAACCCGGAAACUGCCAUGGAUACUAUGUGUCUUGAAUGUUGUUGAGGUGAGCGGAAUAUGUCAUGUAGCGGUGAAAUGCUUAGAUAUGACAUAGAACACCAAUUGCGAAGGCAGCUCACUAAGCAAAUAUUGACGCUGAGGCACGAAAGCGUGGGGAUCAAACAGG
rnacentral:rRNA from 1 species